AUAUAAACUGAUGGAUACUGAUAAAUACCCAUCAUCUGUCAAUGUUAUAGAACAUCAUAAAUAAAUUUUGACGCCAGAGGAACGAGUCGUUAGUUGAAUCAGGUUGAAAACGAUAAAUUAUAACCGUCAAGCGAUACCUUUACCUUAUCUAAGAUAUUUUUUGACACAUCGUUAUAACAAUACCAACUGUGCAAUUAACCGAGUGAUAGAGUAAUAGAGUCUGCAGUCAAUUAUAGACAACUGAAUUUUAGUAAUAGAUCCAAAGAAUGGAACAAUUUCAAAGUUUGCGAUAGCUUCUGCAACAUGGUAACUCAUCUGGUGUUGGUGUAGUAGAUAUGGACAACUGAGAGAAGAGGGUUGAAGAGAGAAGAAGGACGUAGGUCGGUUGCUUGUUCCACGUGUAAUUGAGGUGAUGUUGGGCUUUUACAAAAUAUAUCACUCAUCAAUCUCCAGUUAAACUAACGCCGAUCCUCGUCCAAUCAACCGAUACUCUAUUUUAAUCUAAAAUAUUUAAUUAAAUAUCUAUUACAGGAUUUAGUUUGUAUAAAAAUUCAAUCAUACUUCAGACCAACCAUUGCAGUUGAUUUUUUUCAAAUUCAACAUACAUAUAUGUACUUAUCGAAUUUUCUAGUUCGUCGACUGAAAAUUUCAGGAUAAAGUGUAAAAUGUUUUUUUUUUAUUUUAUUAAGGUAAAUGAAAUUAAAAAUGGAUAUAUCGUUAAAUAACGA